AUACGUAGGGGGCGAGCGUUGUCCGGAAUUAUUGGGCGUAAAGGGUUCGCAGGCGGUCCUUUAAGUCAGAUGUGAAAUGCAUAGGCUUAACCUAUGUUAGCAUUUGAAACUGGAGGACUUGAGUUAAGGAGAGGAAAGUGGAAUUCCUAGUGUAGCGGUGAAAUGCGUAGAUAUUAGGAGGAAUACCAGUGGCGAAGGCGACUUUCUGGACUUAUACUGACGCUGAGGAACGAAAGCGUGGGGAGCAAACAGGAUUAGAUACCCUGGUAGUCCACGCCGUAAACGAUGAGUGCUAGGUGUCGGGUGUCAAAGCUCGGUGCCGCAGCUAACGCAUUAAGCACUCCGCCUGGGGAGUACGUACGCAAGUAUGAA
rnacentral:rRNA from 1 species